rnacentral:lncRNA from 1 species
UUUUAUUCAACGGGGUUCCCACGAAAAUUCUUAUUAUCAACCCAAUUAUUUUCCUACGAAAAGGAGAAGAAAUCAUAGCUAUAGCGCAUAUAAGAUGAGCCUUGGCCUCUAAUGCUAGCCAUUAUAUAUAUACUAUAUAGUUCCCUUUUGUUCUUUAUUAAUUUUAUUAUGGGGCAAGUAUCUUCCAAUUUCUCAUCUUCCUCUGCAAGAGACGAUCAGCCCAUUGCACACGCUAAAACAAUAACGUUUUUUUUUUUUUUUUUUUUUGUGUACAUGUCCUUUUAUAUAUUAAUUUAUACAUAUAUGAAAAUCUCGACCCGAGAUUUUUUUUUUUUUUAAAUUUUAAUCUAUGACUUAAUGUUUUGUCUUAAAGCAGGUCUCGGUUUACAGGUAGAAGAAAGACUCAUCCUAUCCACCGUCACAAGCUGGAGCUGAAAAGCUACAAAAAACCCUACAAUUGCGAUGGCUGCAAGGAG